CCCGUGUCUGUUUAGCAAAGGUGGAGAGAGGCUUAGGGUUUCUUUCUCGGUAUUUUACACUAAAAAUUGGGACACAUUCAUCACCUCUCGUCGCCAAUUCAUUUUAUGUUGCAGUGAUUUCUACUCAACUUCUUCAUAACCAAACUUGGAAGGUAGUAUCGGAUUGUGUUAGUGUUCUUUAUAUUUUGAAAUUGACUCGAUUUGUUUGUUAUGAAUUAUUUAAUUUGAACUCAACUGCUUAUAAUUUGUUUUAUUUUUUCAGAAUUGUUGUCUCCUGACGGCAAUCUUUCUCCAGCAGCAGUGAUUUUUUAAACAAUAUUUUCUCUUGAAUUUUUGUUGCGGUUGCUUAUGAUUUUCCAUUGCCUUGAAAACUGGCUGCCUCUCAAGUGUAAUAGGUGAAAUACCCAGGACCAAAUUAGACCCCAGGUGGCUUGGCCCCUGUUCUGCCAUUGUUGUCCCGGAAGAAACUGUUUUUCCAGCCGUUGCUUCUGUUGAGUACAAGCUGGGAGCCACGGUAGGCUCGUAAAAUUGUUAAUUUACCUCGAGUGUCAAAUAAUGAUGUCACCUGUUUUGAGUUAGGCCCUGUUUAGGAUUUGAUUUUAGAACCCAAUUUUUGAUUCUCAAAAAUGAGAAGUUGUUUGGUAAAUAAAAAAUAAAUAAAUAAAUAUAGAAGAAUAUAUUGAGAAGCAGCUAAAGGCUGCUUUUUGGAUAAUCUGAUUAUGCUCUUAGCCAAUUAUCUAUAAUUAAAAAAUAAAUUUUUUCCCCAGUUAAUUAAAUUAAUUAACUUUGGUUUUGUUGUUUCUUAAAUAUUACGCAUGAUAUAGAUUUGUAUGAAAUUGGACUGCAACUCUUAAUUGUACUGUUUAUGUGUGGUGUUAAUGGAAGUUUCUACACAAGGGUAUUUCUCUGUAGUAAUUUUUGAACACAUUUUGUUAUUUUUGUUUUUCAAAUAUUAUGUAUGAUGUAAGUUUGAGUGAAAAUUGGUCUGCACCUUUUAUGAUUCUACGUAUAUAGACGACUGUCUACCAAUUUGGAUUGUUCUUGGAGCAAAAAUUUGCUUAUUCAAAAUUUAUUUUGUUAAGGAAAAGGAUUAUGGAAAACCAACUUUGAUGACUAUUAAGUCUCGCACUUAACAUAUUGCCGAUUUAUGAGCAUACGCACUUCUAGUUCUAAGACCUUUACGUCUUGACCUUUUCUUUUAUUUAAGUUGUCUUCUUAACCAUCUUGGUUAAGUUCAUUACUACUCUAAUUCAUCUUACUUGCACCCUAAAUUGCACUCUAAAAAGCUUCUGUGAGUAGAAGUUUCAUCAUGUUGAGUAGGGCUGGCAGGUCGGGCUCGGAUGCAGGGAUUUGCUAGAAGGAUGAGAGGAAUGUGAGGAGGGGAGUGAAGUCUUAUUGGGGGGUUUGUGAGUGAAGUGAUGUCGUAUGGGUCGUCCUCUAAUUCUUCACAUUCUUUGUUGGUGAAAUAUUAGUUGUCUGCAGUGGUGGAAGAGGCGGAACAACGAAUGGCGAAGAGUGGAAUGUGAAGGAGGAAUAUGUGGUGCCGAUGGCAUUGGAAGAAUGGUGAAGAACGGGAGAGCAAUGGAGGGAAGUGGCAGAGUAAGUUAUAGCUUGUUCAUUUUCUGGUACAGAGACGACGGAGCAAGACGGUUAUCGAUAAUUUGAUUAUCUUUGUUGUAUUUGUUUUUUAAAGAAUUUUCAUAAAGAAUUUCAUUAAAGAGUCCCCAAGUUAGAGUGUAUAGUGGGAAAAAGGCCUUUCUACAAAUAGUUUUUAACUAACCUUAUUUUCAGAAAAAUAUUCAAAUUAUCCUUAUUUCCUCUCCCUUGUUUGUCCUAAUCUUUAAAUCCAACCAGUUGCCAUAUUCAUUCCUACAAAAAAUAAUAAUAAUAAUAAAUAAAAAAAAUCCUACCCCAACUCCCAACAACUCUCGUAUACAAGCUACCAAAAUCAAGAACAGAAGGGGAUUAUCUUUUUGGUGGAGUCAAGCACGAUGGAUGGAAGGGGCGGCUUAAGAGAGUGUUAAGAAUGUUAAAUGGGUUGACUCGAAUAGCUCAACUUGUUCAUCAUCAGGCUUGCCUGGAUCCAUUAGGUUAGCUGGCUCGCACUUCGGUGUGAGGUGAGGUAGGCGCAAGCUAGCUUGCUUCACCCACUUGCUGAUUUAGGGAGAGACUGGGCUGUAGCCUAAUUCACUUCCAACCCAUUUGAGUAUUUUAUGUGAUUUUUUUAAAAGAACUUUUCUUAUGUUUAAUUUUUUUUUUUUUUAAUAUUUGCCCGUCUUAUUUUUUUCCAGUCUUGAAUCCAUCUACUCACCAAAUGUAAGCUCCGCUUGUCCAAUCGACAUGCUUGUUUUCAAUUUGAAAAGGUGAUAUGGAAGUCUUCGAUUAUGCAGAGAGAGAACAAAUUGAUUUUCAAGAAGAGAGAAGAAAAUGGUUUCAAGGGAAAGGAAAUGGUUGGUUCAUGCUUACAAAAUUAUUUUUAAGUACUCAAAAUCAUUUUGAGAGAUCUAUAAGCAUUAAUCAUUUAUCGAUCACCCAUUUUUAUUUAUAGUUUAAAUCGUUUAUAAAUACUUUCUACAUAUGCUUUUAGAAUGUUAUUUGGAUUUCAAAUUAAUGGUAUUUUCGUUAAUUUUUUUGAAGAUUUGCCAUUUCUACUAGUGUUUUCAAAUUGAAAAAGUGGACAUUUUACGUAAUAUUUUUAAUUAAUUUCAUUCUAACAAACUUUUUCUAGUACUAGUCUGUUGCCCGUGCAAUGCACAGCUACGAGUGUUUUGGAACUUGUUUUGAUGUGUUAAAUUUGAAGAAUUCAGAGGAGAGGUGUGUGUUGUGUGACUAACGGUUAAUGGGUAGAUGUAUAUAUUGAAAAUUUGUUUUGUAGACAAUGCAAAGAAAUAUAGAUAAAUAAAAAGGGUGCAUGAUAUGGUAGUAGAAGUUCCUUAUAUUGUUGGAAGUGACUGUACAUCGAUGGUAGCUUACAAUAUUUACUGUACAUCGAUGGUAGCUUACAAUAUUUACAUAUUUUCAGAAUUCAAAAGAUAUCAAAAUGGUGAAAGCAGUUUUUUCAUCUCAAAAGCAGUAACUUGUUAGUCUUUUGGUUGACUCUUAACUCGAGAGAGUCGGUCACUGCAUACUUUCUACUACUAUUUAUAUUAUUACAAAAUACCAUGGAAUUUUUUCACCCUUUUUUUUGUUUGAAGGUUAUGAUUUUGGUUUGUUCAUCAGGCGCAUAAUCUGCUUUUGCUUUUUUUUUUUUUAAUUAUUAUUUAUUAUUUUUUGGUUUUGUUUUCUCUGGUAUUUGGAAGAGACUCCUCUUUACAGUUGGUGUAGUAUGUGGUAUAUGUGGAAACUUGAUUGUCUACUGUGCACAUUUUAUCUUGGCCUUUUGUGUUGUAUGAACGUUCUAGUAGUUGGGUUGAAAUGUUUAUGUCAUCAAUAGUAGCUGAAGAGUUUGCGUCAAUGAUUGCUGUUGAGGAGUCGAUGUUAGUUGCUAUUGACGACGAAUAUAAUUUCAUAGCGAUAUUGUUGUGGAUUUUGUCGCUUUUAUGUGACUUUGAGGUAGAAGAACAUUUCUUCUUUAGAUUUUGUCAUUAUCACAUCGUCUAGAUGUGCAUCGGGGUUUUGCAAUAUGGAAACUUGAUUGUCUACUGUGCACAUUUUAUCUUUGCCUUUUGUGUUGUAUGAACGUUCUAGUAUUUGGGUUGAAAUGCUUAUGUCAUCAAUAGUAGCUGAAGAGUUUGCGUCAAUGAUUGCUGUUGAGGAGUCGAUGUUAGUUGCUAUUGACGACGAAGAUAAUUUCAUAGCGAUAUUGUCGUGGAUUUUGUCGCUUUUAUGUGACUUUGGGGUAGAAGAACAUUUCUUCUUUAGAUUCUGUCAUUAUCACAUCGUCUAGAUGUGCAUCGGGGUUCUGCAAUAUGGAAAAUGUUGUUGUGGAUUAAAUGUUUGUGUUUUCAUAAAGAAGUUAUUAAAUGGUAAUAGGAGUGGGGUUUUACCUCUAGAAAAUGGUUCAUUAUGUCGUUGGCAUUAUCUUUCAAUAAUUCUUUUGCUGCUUUUCCUAUGAUGCUUGCAUCUAAUUCUCCAGAUGUGUCUUGAAGGUGAAUGAAUGCAUUUGCUCUGUACAGGAAGUUGAUUACAUUAGAUGUUGUCAUUUGUAAAACGAUUCAUUAUUUUAGUUAAGAUUAGUAUUUAUAUUUAGAGGUGUAAAUUACCUUGGUAUGUCUUUUGCAUGUUCAUAUUUGCAGAAGCGGCAUUUGUGUGUCUCUGCCAAGUUUGCAUUUGAUUAUUUUUUUUUUUUGCAAUUGUUACAUGACAUGUACCAAAAUCUCUAGUUCUUUGAAAUGAUUCUCCAAUGGGCUUUUACCCAAUAGAUUUUUCUGUAAAAGCACAUGUAUGUGUAAUUGGAAGAUAAAUUUAGUAGGUGAGAAUUUGUUAUGGUGUUUUGAUAUUGGUGACGGUUAAAUAUGAUAGAAAUUUUAUGUAUGUUGUGUAUAUUAAAAGAUUAAUUUAUGAAAUACGCCUAGGUAGACUCCUAGCAAAUUAGCAAGUGAUGUGAACUUGUUUUCAGCUGGAGGCGAUAAUUUUAACAGUGUGAUUGAAACAAAUGAUUUAUCCUCUAUCAAUUUUUCAAGUUGUUCCUCGUUUGCUUUCAUCCUGUAAGAAUCGAACGAAAUGAUUAGGUAUGUAAUGAAAUAUAAAAAUUUUGUCAACAUUUUUUAUGGUAGUUGAAUAAGUUUAGAAGUUGGGAGUGAGAUAUGGAAAUCAUUUUUUUGUAAUCUGUUUCUGCAACUAUUCCAGUAUCAAUGAAAAGAGUACUAUUGACUUUAGUGGAAAGUGUAAGGCCUACGUGGGAAAUGAAGUAGAAGUGAUUUGUUUAUGUUAUUUUGUAAGUGUAAUAUCAUAUGAAAGUAAAUGCUAUAUGUAUAUUGAAGGUACCAUUGAAGGAAGAAACUCUUAAGAUUAGUGGCCUCUAUCACAGAUUUGUUUGCAAGUUUUCCAGCGAUAGCAAAGCAUUCUUGUUCAACAAAACUAUCCCACAAUGUUAACAUUACAGUCUGAAAGUGUUUAUUUAUCAAUAUAAUAUAUUGAAGACAUGCUUGUGUGUCAGAGUGGGUUUGGAUGAUUCUUUUUUGGCGAAUGUCAAUAGCGACCCCUAUAACACUUGCAAUAAAGAGAGAGGGUUUGCUUGUAACAUAUUGUGCAUAUUGUCCUAGUCGAACAUGACGAAAACAAGUAGUUAAUGAUAAUACUGGUUAUAAGGUUAAGGAAUUAUACUUAUGUUCGUGUCCUUGUCCAUAUAUUUUUCUAACUUGUGGAAUGGAGUAACUUCAUAUGUAGAAUAAAGGAAGUUUAAGUUAUCUUCAUUCACUUCUUGUAUUCUUGUUUUUCCAGUGACAAUCCAAACCUUUUCUUCAGGAGAGUUUGCAAACGUGCUUCUGUUAUUUCUAACUGUUGCAUUAGAUAGUACUUCUAAAGCUGUAAUGCUUGCAUCAUAGAUCAUAGUUGUAAUUUUGUUUCCCUAUUCAAAGAUUAUGAGGAGUUAGGAACAUUAUGUGGAGGAAUAUUUACAAUUGAAAUGAAGUUAUUAUGACAAUUAAUAUGUACCUGUAAAUCCAUUAGAAGAUUUUGGUAUCGACUGGAGGUGUUAUGAGCGUUCUUAGGUGAUUGUUUUCUUGCAAUAAUAAUUUUUGCAGACCAAUUUUUUUCUGUGGUUGAAAUUUCUGGGAUAAGUUUAUAGGGACCAGUCAU
rnacentral:lncRNA from 1 species